CAAUUCACGCAAGGCAGCCACUUUACGCCUCCACCCAUCUAUAUCAGCCAACAACCCUUUGUUUCUCCCUUAGACACCAGAAAAUUGAGGGAAAGAGAUAGAGCUUGCAAAGCUUCUACCGGAACUUCGAAGAGUUCUUCUCCUGCUGAAAUCAACAAACAGCCUCAAACAUAUAACAUUUUACAAGGUAAACACUAGGCUCAGCUCAUUCAAUCCAUUCGUUUUUCAUCCAACAAGCAUGAUCGAUUAAAUGAUACUAAGCAUACAACGAGUAUAUAUUUUCAUAAGGAGACUUAGCAAACUCAUAUGAUCUUUAGGCAGAAAUCAAUAUGUAUAUGUAUAUGUAUUCUUUUCAUAAGAUACAUGCGUGAGAACUUUUUCGAUGCAGUCCCAAAGCCACACGCCAUUAAUCUAUUGUAUAAUCGGUAAAUAGGAACCAAGAGAAUCAGUUAACCGAACUAGAAAGAAAGAACCAUAGCUUACUACUUUUGCAUUUAUACCAAGAGAUGGGGACCAACCUUCGUCGAUGAGAACUUCGGAAUCAGUCGGAGGCUGACUGCCUGUUCGUUGAGACAAAGGAGCUCCGACGACAACACAGUACGGCGGAGGAGACCCCGGCCACAGUGGCAGAGCUCUGCUGCUCGCCAGACGAGAUCGGGAAAGAACCCGGUGACGACGGGAAUUUGCGGAGACCUUUGGGCGAAGGGCGGCGUCAACUUUGACCAAAGUUACAGAGGCAACUUGCCUGAACCAAGAAGAAGGGACAGAAUGAGGUUGAGCCCGGUUCUUGAGCAGAGGACAGAUUUCAGCGGUGCGGCGAUCUCUGGCCAAGGCGGACGCGACGGCGUCGAACAAGGGCGGAGACCCGCGAUUCGGACGGAGAAACCGGGGCUCGACUUUCCUCCCCAAUUGUGUGUCUUCGUUGAGACCGAGAAAGCGAGGAGAUUUUGGCCCUGAUUUGAGUUCCACUUGAUGUUACUAGAGGAAAGAGGGCAGAGCCGUUGAAGGCGGCGGCGUCGCCGGAAUUUCAAAACAGCGGCGGAGACGGUUUCACUCAAUAGAGAGGAAACUAAGGUCGACCGCGAAUCUGUGCGUGAGGAAGAUCGAGAUAGGGGAAUAGAGGCAUCAACCUCGCCGGGGCCGUUCGCGGCGGAGCUGCGGAGGCGGCGGACGUCCAGACAAACGGAGGCUCAGCGUGGUGAUCAGCGGCGGCGGCGCUGGACCCCUCGCCGAAAACAGAUCGAGAGAGAGAGAUGUUCCGAUUUUGAGGAAAGAAAAAAAAGAGUUGUGUUGACUGUUGAGCCGAUUUGGGAGAAGAAACGACCGCCGCUCAUCGAAAGUUCAGGGAGGCGGCGGUGAUUUCCGAUUUGGGAGAGCAGGGGCUCGCGCCGGCGACGAGAAGGCGCCGGAGCCGGCUGGAGGCUGAGAACGAGAGAGAGAAAAGAGAGAGGGAGCCGAUUUUGAGACUAUAGGGAGAGAGAUCGAUUUUGAGGGAGAUGAGAGUUGGGCUCUUGGGCUUUAGUUUAAUGGGCCUUUGUUAUUUAUUUAAUUUGGGCUUUUCCCUUUUAAUUGUAAUUGGGCCGAAAAUUGGGCUUUGAUUUAUUUUACUUUGGGCCGAAUUAUAUAACUCUCUGGGCCGAUUCUUUUAUUUAAAACCCAACUGCAUUUUUGUA